UACGGAGGGGGUUAGCGUUGUUCGGAAUGACUGGGCGUAAAGCGCGCGUAGGCGGGCUGGAAAGUUGGGGAUGAAAUCCCGGGGCUCAACCCCGGAAUGGCCUUCAAGACUCCCAGCCUAGAGUUCGAGAGAGGUGAGUGGAAUUCCGAGUGUAGAGGUGAAAUUCGUAGAUAUUCGGAGGAACACCAGUGGCGAAGGCGGCUCACUGGCUCGACACUGACGCUGAGGUGCGAAAGCGUGGGGAGCAAACAGG
rnacentral:rRNA from 1 species